rnacentral:rRNA from 1 species
AUUGAACGCUGGCGGCAGGCCUAACACAUGCAAGUCGAGCGGCCCGGCGGUCGGGUGCGUAUUUCCUAGGUAUCUGCCUGGUAGUUGGGGAUAACUUCCGGCAACUCGCGCUAUUACCGCUUACUAUCUGAUGACCCUAGGUCGGAUUGGCUAGUUGGUGGGGUAAAGGCCUACAAAGGCGACGAUCCGUACCUGUUCUGAGAGGAUGAUCAGUCACACUGGAACUGAGACACGGUCCAGACUCCUACGGGAGGCAGCAGUGGGGAAUAUUGGACAAUGGGCGAAAGCCGGAUCCAGCCAUGCCGCGUGUGUGAAGAAGGUCUUCGGAUUGUAAAGCACUUUAAGUUGGGAGGCGUUAACAAAAGAAGAAGCACCGGCUAACUUCGUGCCAGCAGCCGCGGUAAUAC